rnacentral:rRNA from 1 species
GACGAACGUUGGCGGCGUGCUUAAUACAUGCAAGUCAACUGAAGCAGUGGUAGCAAUAUCGCUGUGGAGGUGGCGCACGGGUGAGUAACACGUAGGUAAUCUGCCUUCAGGUCUGGCAUAACUCCGGGAAACCGGGGCUAAUAGCAGAUGAUGCAGCGGCUCGACAUCGAGACAGUUGUUAAAGCUAUGGCGCCUGAAGAUGAGGCUGCGUCUGCUUAGCUAGUUGGCGGGGUAACGGCCCACCAAGGCAACGAUCAGUAGCUGGUCUGAGAGGAUGAUCAGCCACACUGGAACUGAGACACGGUCCAGACUCCUACGGGAGGCAGCAGUAAGGAAUAUUGCUCAAUGGGAGAAAUCCUGAAGCAGCAACGCCGCGUGAGGGACGAAGGGCUUUUGCUUGUAAACCUCUGUAGGGAGAGAAAAAAAUCCCAAUCUUUGGGACAUGAUGGUAUCUCAAAAGUAAGCCCCGGCUAACUACGUG